rnacentral:lncRNA from 1 species
UUAUAUCAAAACACAGAACUAAUAUAAAUUCAAAUACUUUCAAAAUCAAAAGACCCAAUGUGUAACCAAAGUGGCAUGAUCAUGUUAGAACCUGUCAAAGAAGUGAUCCAGACUGUGGUACUGAGGAUCCUUGCUGUGAUUCCCAGAGCGCACCACCUGUCCUUUAAAAAAGUUUCAUGACUCAUAACUUUGGUUAUCUGCAAGC